AUGAAGGGCUUGAAGCUGUCGGAGGAGGAAAAAAAAGGGGUUAGGAUUAGGAUCACGGCGAAGGAGAAGGGGAAGUUCGUGGAGGCGAAGGCGGUGGGGAAGAUCUUCUCGGAGAAACCUGCACACCCCGAUGCGAUCCGUCUAUCCUUGGGGAAGGUGUGGCGCCCGAUCAAAGGAAUAGAUUGCAAGGAAGCGGGCGACAACAAGUUUGUCUUCACGUUUCUUCAGGAGUCCGGGAAGAGGAAGGCGUUGGAGAACGGGCCGUGGAUGUUCGACAAGGAGCUCGUGGUCGUGGAGGAUUUUGAACCGAGCAAGAGGAUGGAGGACUAUGAAUUCAACAAUAUACCUAUCUAGAUUCGGGUGUUCAACCUCCCACUGGGCAUGAUGACUAUAGAGGCGGCUGAAGAAAUUGGAAAUCUGGUUGGGACGUUCGUGGAGGUGGAUACAGGUGCAGAUGGAACGGCAAUAGGAAGGUUUUUGAGAGUCAAGAUUAGGAUGAGAAUUGACAAGCCAAUUAUGAGGGGUUUUACUCUUGAGGAAGAAGGGGGGAGAAGACAGAAGAAGAAUGUGAAGGAGGUGGGCAGGAUGGAAGAGGAGGAUGGCUGGUGUAGAUUUGAGUAUGAGUAUCUUCCAGAUUUUUGCUACACCUGUGGCAUGAUCGGGCAUGGCGAGAAGAAGUGCGCUAUUGUUCUGAAGAAAGGAGAAAGAUCGCAGUUUGGGCGGUGGUUGAAAGCAGAGAUGGGGGUAAGGAGGGGUCGUCAGAGGAGGGGUCGUGGAGGAGAAACAACAGGGAGCUAA
rnacentral:rRNA from 1 species